UGAGCAAUCUGCCCUUCACAUCGGAAUAACCAUUGGAAACGAUGGCUAAUACCGAAUAUGACUUCGGAUCGCAUGAUCUGAAGUGGAAAGCUCCGGCGGAGAAGGAUGAGCUCGCGGCCUAUCAGCUAGUUGGUGUGGGUAAUGGCCCACAAGGCGACGACGGGUAGCCGGCUGAGGAGGGUGACCCGGCCACACGUGGGACUGGAGACACGGCCCAGACUCCGUACGGG
rnacentral:rRNA from 1 species